rnacentral:rRNA from 1 species
ACACAUGCAGUCGAGGGGUAACAGAUCUUCGGAUGCUGACGACCGGCGAACGGGUGAGUAACACGUAUGCAACUUACCCGUAACUCGGGAAUAGCCCAAAGAAAUUUGGAUUAAUACCCAAUAAUACAGGCGUACCGCAUGGUAUUCUUCGUUAAAGAAUAAUCGGUUAUGGAUAGGCAUGCGUUCUAUUAGGUAGUUGGUGAGGUAACGGCUCACCAAGCCGACGAUGGAUAGGGGAACUGAGAGGUUGUCCCCCCACACUGGUACUGAGACACGGACCAGACUCCUACGGGAGGCAGCAGUGAGGAAUAUUGGUCAAUGGACGAAAGUCUGAACCAGCCAAAUCGCGUGAAGGAAGAAGGUAUUAUGUAUCGUAAACUUCUUUUGUAAGAGAGUAAAGUGCACUACGUGUAGUGUAUUGCAAGUACCUUACGAAUAAGCAUCGGCUAAUUCCGUGCCAGCAGCCGCGGUAAUACGGAAGAUGCAAGUGUUAUCCGGAUUUAUUGGGUUUAAAGGGUGCGUAGGUGGUCUAAUAAGUCAGUGGUGAAAUCUCUUUGCUUAACAAGGAAAUUGCCAUUGAAACUGUUAGACUUGAGAAUGGACGAGGUAGGCGGAAUUCGUAGUGUAGCGGUGAAAUGCAUAGAUAUUACGAAGAACUCCAAUAGUGUAGACUGCUUACCAGACCAUAUCUGACACUAAGGCACGAAAGUGUGGGUAUCAAACAGGAUUAGAUACCCUGGUAGUCCACACAGUAAACGAUGAAUACUAACUGUUUGCGAUAUACAGCAAGUGGUCGAGCGAAAGCGUUAAGUAUUCCACCUGGGAAGUAUGCCGGCACGGUGAAACUCAAAGGAAUUGACGGGGCCCGCACAGCGAGACAUGUGUUAUCGAUAUACGCGAGACUACCGGGCUC